rnacentral:rRNA from 1 species
GCGACUGCGGAGGAUCAUUA